rnacentral:rRNA from 1 species
CCUACGGGAGGCAGCAGUGAGGAAUAUUGGUCAAUGGACGAGAGUCUGAACCAGCCAAGUAGCGUGAAGGAUGACUGCCCUAUGGGUUGUACACUUCUUUUAUCUGGGAAUAAAACAGGGUAUGCAUACCCUCUUGUAUGUACCAUAUGAAUACGGAUCGUCUAACUCCGUGCCAGCAGCCGCGGUAAUACGGAGGAUCCGAGCGUUAUCCGGAUUUAUUGGGUUUAAAGGAAGCGUAGGUGGAUUGUUAAGUCAGUUGUGAAAGUUUGCGGCGCAACCGUAAAAUUGCAGUUGAAACUGGCAGUCUUGAGUACGCGAGAAGUAUGCGGAAUGCGUGGUGUAGCGGUGAAAUGCAUAGAUAUCACGCAGAACUCCGAUUGCGAAGGCAGCAUACCGGCGCGCAACUGACGCUCAUGCAUGAAAGCGUGGGUAUCGAACAGGAUUAGAUACCCCUGUAGUC